AGUGCCUGUGUGCGUUUUUGCAUGUGCGAAUGUAGUCUCUGUAUGCGCUUUGUGACGUCUCAGCAACUCUUUCAAGAUAUAAAUUACCAUGCGCGAGCCGAUCUACAUCUGUAGGUGCCUUUGGAACCGUGACUUCCUUCGACCUUUUCAGAGUAUCGACAGCCUUGUUGCGUCCGAGAUGGAACUUGGGUUCUUGGGAUAAAGACACUAUUUCAGCAAAAUAGCCAUGCUACGGACAGGCUGAGCCAAGGCAGGAGCCGGAGAUGUUGUCUUAAAGCAAACCAUGAUCAACAAUUGGACGAGUGGUGUUAAUCGCGUCCCUUCUCCUUAUGAGGCGAAAGUGAUCAGAGAAGGAGUCUUCAUUUGGGAGGGUCGUCUUAAAAGCAUAAGCCAUUUUUCCUCUUGACAACACUCAAGACUCAGUACACUGCUUCUCAUUCGCCGCCUUCACAGAAGCACUUUUAUGUGAACGCUUCUGCAUUUGACUCUUUGGAGAUAUUCGCUCGGUUUCUAAAUCGUCGUAUGUUACGGUAUAUGCAUGCGUUCUGUAAACCUACUUAUAAAUAUGGAAAUUUUUACCUUCAAAUGUACUUUUACCUUUACACCUGUUUAUGAAAAUGGAUCAUUUUUACCCUGAAAUGUACUUUUUUAAACUUUACAUCUGUUUAUGAAUAUGGUUAAUUUUUACCCUCAAAUGUAAU